CAGGAGUGGUUUAUUGUUUUAUAGUAGGUAUUAGUGUUUAUUGUUUUAUAGCAGUUCUUCAAGGAGUUGUUUAUUGUUUUACAGUAUGUAUUAGUGUUUAAUUUAUUGUUUACUGGCAGUUUAUUGUUUAUUAUUUUACAGUAGUUCUUCAAGGAGUUGUUUAUUGUAAUUAAUCAUUGUUUGUGAUUGAUGUAGUUGUUUAUUGUCUAUGUUCCUUGUAUUUGAUGUUUAUACUUUAUACGUUAUCGUUUAAUAAGUAUGUAAACAUUCACAAUAAACUAAUUUUCUUUUAUCAUUAUAUUAUAUUAAUAUUUAUUAGAACGGAAGGUGAUAAUUCCCAUUUAGGCGGUUGUGAUUCAUUUACUCCAACGCCUAUGAGUUCACCAUUAGAGUACCCUAAUUCAUUCCCCGUGGAUUCACCUAGUGCUAGGAAUGAAGCAGAAACUCAAGGAACUAGUCAAACUGUUGAAGGUUAUUGCAUCUUGGAAGAUUAUGAAAUUGAUGAAGAUUUACUCCUUCCUCAAGAAUUAGAAGCUUAGAGGUUAUUAUUGAAGAGUUACUACUUGAACCUUGAGAAGUUGAGAGUUUAAAACAUGAGAAAUGAGAAUUGAAGAUUUGAAGUUUAUUUGUUUUGUUAUGUACUUAUAUUUGGACUUUG